AGAGUUUGAUCCUGGCUCAGAUUGAACGCUGGCGGCAUGCCUUACACAUGCAAGUCGAACGGUAACAGGUUAAGCUGACGAGUGGCGAACGGGUGAGUAAUAUAUCGGAACGUGCCCAGUCGUGGGGGAUAACUGCUCGAAAGAGCAGCUAAUACCGCAUACGACCUGAGGGUGAAAGCGGGGGAUCGCAAGACCUCGCGCGAUUGGAGCGGCCGAUAUCAGAUUAGGUAGUUGGUGGGGUAAAAGCUCACCAAGCCAACGAUCUGUAGCUGGUCUGAGAGGACGACCAGCCACACUGGGACUGAGACACGGCCCAGACUCCUACGGGAGGCAGCAGUGGGGAAUUUUGGACAAUGGACGCAAGUCUGAUCCAGCCAUGCCGCGUGCGGGAAGAAGGCCUUCGGGUUGUAAACCGCUUUUGUCAGGGAAGAAACGGCUUUUUCUAAUACAGAGAGCUAAUGACGGUACCUGAAGAAUAAGCACCGGCUAACUACGUGCCAGCAGCCGCGGUAAUAC
rnacentral:rRNA from 1 species